AGGGAUAACCGCUGAAAGCAUCUAAGCGGGAAGCCUGUUUUAAGAUGAGGUUUCAUUUGAGGUCCCCUAAAGACUAUGGGGUUGAUAGGCCAGACCUGUAAGCACUGUAAAGUGUUAAGGCUACUGGUACUAAUAGACCAAAACAAACACACCC
rnacentral:rRNA from 1 species